rnacentral:rRNA from 1 species
GGAUGACCGCUGGCGGCGUGCCUACUACAUGCAAGUCAAGCGAACAGACGAGGAGCUUGCUCCUUCGACGUUAGCGGCGGACGGGUGAGUAACACGUAGGUAACCUACCUAUAAGACUGGGAUAACUUCGGGAAACCGGAGCUAAUACCGGAUAAUAUUUCGAACCGCAUGGUUCGAUAGUGAAAUAUGGCUUUGCUAUCCCUUUUAGAUGUACCUGCGCCGUAUUAGCUAGUUGGUAAGGUAACGGCUUACCAAGGCAACGAUGCGUAGCCGACCUGAGAGGGGGAUCGGCCACACUGGAGCUGAGACACGGUCCAGACUCCUACGGGAGGCAGCAGUAGGGAAUCUUCCGCAAUGGGCGAAAGCCUGACGGAGCAACGCCGCGUGAGUGAUGAAGGUCUUCGGAUCGUAAAACUCUGUUAUUAGGGAAGAACAAACGUGUAAGUAACUGUGCACGUCUUGACGGUACCUAAUCAGAAAGCCACGGCUAACUACGUG